UUUCUUCUAAAGCUAAAUACCGGGCCAGAGACCGAUAGCGCACAGUAGAGUGAUCGAAAGAUGAAAAGCACUUUGAAAAGAGGGUUAAAUAGCACGUGAAAUUGUGAAAGGGAAGCGCUUGUGACCAGACUUGCGCCGGGCGGAUCAUCCGGUGUUCUCACCGGUGCACUCCGCCCGGGCUCAGGCCAGCAUCGGUUCUCGCGGGGGGAUAAAGGUCCUGGGAACGUAGCUCCUCCGGGAGUGUUAUAGCCCGGGGCGUAAUGCCCUCGCGGGGACCGAGGUUCGCGCAUCUGCAAGGAUGCUGGCGUAAUGGUCAUCAGCGACCCGUCUUGAAACACGGACCAAGGAGUCAAGGUUUUGCGCGAGUGUUUGGGUGUAAAACCCGCACGCGUAAUGAAAGUGAACGUAGGUGAGAGCUUCGGCGCAUCAUCGACCGAUCCUGAUGUUUUCGGAUGGAUUUGAGUAGGAGCGUUAAGCCUUGGACCCGAAAGAUGGUGAACUAUGCUUGGAUAGGGUGAAGCCAGAGGAAACUCUGGUGGAGGCUCGCAGCGGUUCUGACGUGCAAAUCGAUCGUCAAAUCUGAGCAUGGGGGCGAAAGACUAAUCGAACCAUCUAGUAGCUGGUUACCGCCGAAGUUUCCCUCAGGAUAGCAGUGUUGUCUUCAGUUUUAUGAGGUAAAGCGAAUGAUUAGGGACUCGGGGGCGCUUUUUAGCCUUCAUCCAUUCUCAAACUUUAAAUAUGUAAGAAGCCCUUGUUACUUAAUUGAACGUGGGCAUUCGAAUGUACCAACACUAGUGGGCCAUUUUUGGUAAGCAGAACUGGCGAUGCGGGAUGAACCGAACGCGGGGUUAAGGUGCCGGAGUGGACGCUCAUCAGACACCACAAAAGGCGUUAGUACAUCUUGACAGCAGGACGGUGGCCAUGGAAGUCGGAAUCCGCUAAGGACUGUGUAACAACUCACCUGCCGAAUGUACUAGCCCUGAAAAUGGAUGGCGCUCAAGCGUCCCACCCAUACCCCGCCCUCAGGGUAGAAACGAUGCCCUGAGGAGUAGGCGGCCGUGGAGGUCAGUGACGAAGCCUAGGGCGGAGCCCGUCACUGUCAC
rnacentral:rRNA from 1 species